rnacentral:rRNA from 1 species
UACGUAGGGUGCAAGCGUUAAUCGGAAUUACUGGGCGUAAAGCGUGCGCAGGCGGUUAUGCAAGACAGAUGUGAAAUCCCCGGGCUUAACCUGGGAACCGCAUUUGUGACUGCAUAGCUGGAGUACGGCAGAGGGGGAUGGAAUUCCGCGUGUAGCAGUGAAAUGCGUAGAUAUGCGGAGGAACACCGAUGGCGAAGGCAGUCCCCUGGGCCUGUACUGACGCUCAUGCACGAAAGCUAGGGGAGCAAACGGG